UACGUAGGGGGCAAGCGUUGUCCGGAUUUAUUGGGCGUAAAGGGUGCGUAGGCGGCGCGGUAAGUCGGGUGUGAAAUCUCGGAGCUUAACUCCGAAACUGCAUUCGAUACUGCCGUGCUUGAGGACUGGAGAGGAGACUGGAAUUUACGGUGUAGCGGUGAAAUGCGUAGAUAUCGUAAGGAAGACCAGUGGCGAAGGCGGGUCUCUGGACAGUUCCUGACGCUGAGGCACGAAGGCCAGGUGAGCAAACGGG
rnacentral:rRNA from 1 species